GUUCCAGUAGCUCAGUUGGAUAGAGCGACUGCCUCCGGAGCAGUAGGUCGUGGGUUCGAAUCCCGCCUGGAACGCCA
rnacentral:tRNA from 1 species